ACUCCUACGGGAGGCAGCAGUGGGGGAAUAUUGCACAAUGGGGGAAACCCUGAUGCAGCGACGCAGCGUGCGGGAUGACGGCCUUCGGGUUGUAAACCGCUUUCAGCAGGGAAGAAGCGAAAGUGACGGUACCUGCAGAAGAAGUACCGGCUAACUACGUGCCAGCAGCCGCGGUAAUACGUAGGGUACGAGCGUUGUCCGGAAUUAUUGGGCGUAAAGAGCUCGUAGGUGGUUGGUCACGUCUGCUGUGGAAACGCAACGCUUAACGUUGCGCGUGCAGUGGGUACGGGCUGACUAGAGUGCAGUAGGGGAGUCUGAAUUCCUGGUGUAGCGGUGAAAUGCGCAGAUAUUAGGAGGAACACCGGUGGCGAAGGCGGGACUCUGGGCUGUAACUGACACUGAGGAGCGAAAGCAUGGGGAGGCGAACAGGAUUAGAUACCCUGGUAGGAUAGCGU
rnacentral:rRNA from 1 species